rnacentral:rRNA from 1 species
GCAAGUCGAGCGAGAAAGCUUCUUCGGAAGUGAGUACAGCGGCGCACGGGUGCGUAACACGUGGGUUAUUUACCCUUUGGUGGGGGACAACAUCUCGAAAGGGGUGCUAAUACCGCAUAAGUCCACUUCGGUGGGGAAAGGCGGCUUCGGCUGUCGCCAGAGGAUGAGCCCGCGUCCCAUCAGCUAGUUGGUGAGGUAAUGGCUCACCAAGGCAUCGACGGGUAGCUGGUCUGAGAGGAUGAUC